rnacentral:pre_miRNA from 1 species
GCGCUAUUGCGGAAUAGAGCUAUUUCGAGAAAAAAACGGGGUUAUUUCGAGAUAAAACCCUUCUCUCAAAAUAACUGGUAAACCUCAUUGUAUGAGGAAUAAGGGUUAUUUCGAGAGAAGGGUUUUAUCUCGAAAUAACCCCGUUUUUUUCUCGAAAUAGCUCUAUUCCGCAAUAGCGC